rnacentral:rRNA from 1 species
GUGGUAAUGCCGGAUGCUCCAUCACACCGCAUGGUGUGUUGGGAAAGCCUUUGCGGCAUGGGAUGGGGUCGCGUCCUAUCAGCUUGAUGGCGGGGUAACGGCCCACCAUGGCUUCGACGGGUAGCCGGCCUGAGAGGGCGACCGGCCACAUUGGGACUGAGAUACGGCCCAGACUCCUACGGGAGGCAGCAGUGGGGAAUAUUGCACAAUGGGCGCAAGCCUGAUGCAGCGACGCCGCGUGAGGGAUGGAGGCCUUCGGGUUGUAAACCUCUUUUGUUAGGGAGCAAGGCACUUUGUGUUGAGUGUACCUUUCGAAUAAGCACCGGCUAACUACGUGCCAGCAGCCGCGGUAAUACGUAGGGUGCAAGCGUUAUCCGGAAUUAUUGGGCGUAAAGGGCUCGUAGGCGGUUCGUCGCGUCCGGUGUGAAAGUCCAUCGCUUAACGGUGGAUCCGCGCCGGGUACGGGCGGGCUUGAGUGCGGUAGGGGAGACUGGAAUUCCCGGUGUAACGGUGGAAUGUGUAGAUAUCGGAAAGAACACCA